AAGCCAUCUUCCCUUUUUUUUUUUUUUUUUUUGUGUGUGGGUAGCAAUUGCCCCAUAUGACGCUUAAGUUAUUUGACGCGAACUGGAGGAGAAGUUACGGAUGAUAUAUGGAUUGAACUGGUUUCAUAAUAGCUUUCAUUCAGCUCUGUCUUCAAUUGUUGAUUAACAGGAAAGCUGUUAUCGUCAGCUUGUCCCCAGUACAAAAACUGCCCUGUAAGACAACACAUAGAAGCUGACAGCAAG
rnacentral:lncRNA from 1 species